ensembl:lncRNA
AUGAUGCUCAUCUUUGGACUGAUGCUGCUGCUGCUGCAAACUGCUGCAUGUCUGGAUCAGCUCUGCACAUUUGAUGAACCAUAUUCGAUCAAACAAUGUUACGCAGCUCUGGGACACAAACUCAGUCUGCAGAUGAUGCUGAACCCUUCAUAUACUGAACUUGAUUUGUAUAAGACGUUAAAUGAUGGCAGUACACUGAAAGUUUUUAGCAUAGAGAAAAAUAAAAAGUAUAAUUAUGAAUCCAUCAGAGACAUAUCUGAGUUAUUUAAAAAUGUGCCUCUGAUCAUAAAUACACAUGAAUCCAUCAGAAACAGAUCCGAGUUCUUCUUUGAUAAUAUGACUCUGACCAUAAACAAUGUGACCAGAGCAGAUUCAGGAAGAUACACAUCAUUUGUCGUUGAGAUAGAUAUGUUAAUGAAAAGUGAUCUUCAAGUGAUUGUUGAAGCUCCUAUUGGCUCAGUGGAAGUGUCAAUCAUCUGCUCCUCCAAUCAGACUACAGUGUUCUGCUCCUCUGAGGGAGAUCAGCUCAUCUACAGCUGGACUCUGAAUGGAAAAGUACUAGAAGAAGGACCAAUGUUUGGAAACAGCAGCAUUGAUCUGGAUGAGGGAACUGAUGGAAACAUCAGCUGCAGCGUGAAGAACAACGUCAGUCACGCACAGAAGACCAUUAGACUCAAACCCUGUCCUGGUCUGGAUCAGUUCUGCACUUUUGAUCGUUCUGAUCCCUGUUAUGCAGCUCUGGAACACAAACUCAAUCUAAUGAUUGUGCAGGACGCUAGUAAAUAUGACCUGAAGGUAAAAAAGAGAAUAAACAACAACACAGCAGAUGAUCCAGUUUGUAGAGUAAAGAAUGACAGGAUGAGGAUGAGUCAGUGUGAUCUUUAUAAUAACAGACCUGAAGUGACAGUCAUUAAUGGGACUGUGAUAAUAAACCGUGUGAUCAGAGCAGAUUCAGGGAAUUACACAUUAACUCUCUCUGGCUUAAAUGGCACAGAAACAUCUAGAGAUCUUCAAGUGAUUGUUGAAGCACCUGUUGGCUCAGUAGAAGUGUCAAUCAUCUGGUCCUCCAGUGGGGUGAUGAGGGUGUUCUGCUCCUCUGAGGGGGAUNAGACAUCAGCUGCAGCGUGAAGAACCACGUCAGUCACGCACAGAACACCAUUAGACUCACACCCUGUCCUGGUGAGAUUUUAAUACAUGAAUGCCAACGUAUUUGCUAACCAAAAGCAACAAGAGUGAAGCAGAAUCUCAUAAAACCUGUCAAGAACAUGUCAAAGUCAUGUUUUACCCCCAAAUUAGCAGUAACUCUGAAGCAUAUUUCGAUGGAUUGUUAUGGUUUUAACUUAUCUAGCACUAUUUGUAAAGCAUUUUGAAUGAAGUGAGAACAGAUUUAGGCUGGAUUUAGAUUUUUAAGUGAAAAAAAAAAAAAAAAAAUCUUUCUCUUUUAUUAUUUGUUGAAAUAUAUCGUUUAUUUAUUUACAUUUUAUAUUUUUCAUAUUUUUUUAUUAUAUCAUCUUUAGCUGGCAUGGCAGAAAAAAAAACUAAAAAAAAAAAAAAACUAAAAAAAAAAACUAACAAACAUUUCACCCCAAAAUCAAAUUUUUAUUGCAUAAAUUAAAUGAGACCUAUUUUACAAACAUUCAUUUUUUGCAUUGUGAAAUUAUUUUCAUUUAAAAACAUGUCCACUCACUACAUUUUCUUUACUCUAAUGGUUUACAAUUUAGCUUUUUCUCUCUCUUUUUUAUUUAUUUAUUUAUUUUGGUAAUUGUAGUUGUUUACAGAAAUUAUUGUUAUUUUAUUGUUAUUGAUACAUUUUUACUUAUAAUAUGUANAAGGUUUUUAUUGCAGUUCAUUACUGAAUAUCUGGAAGAAUUUAGUUAACAGUGUCUGCCCUUUCUUUGGACUGAGUCUGAGACUAUUUUAAGAAUUAAAAACCAGCCUGUUGCUAACUGUGUACUGCAUACUGCUUUUAAAAAACUGACAUGUGAAAGCAUUUCAAACAGUCAUUUGCUACACUGUUGUCACAUGACUGACUUACACUAUUAUAUCAGAUAUAAAUUUUGUUUAGAAAUGUUUUGACUGACUCAUUUACAUAAUAUCAAGCAAUAGUCAUGUGACUGUGAUGUAUCCCUCCCUCCAGCUCCUAUUGGCUCAGUGGAAGUGUCAAUAAUCUGCUCCUCCAAUCAGACUUCAGUCUUCUGCUCCUCUAAAGGUGAUCAGAUCAUCUACAGCUGGACUCUGAAUGGAGAUCCACUGAUGGAUGGAAACAGCAGCAUUGAUCUGGAUGAAAGAAGAGAUGGAAACAUCAGCUGCAGCGUGAAGAACCACGUCAGUCACGCACAGAAGACCAUUAGACUCAAACCCUGUGCUGGUGAGAUUUUAAUACAAACCCGAUUCUAAAAAAGUUGGGACACUGUACAAAUUGCAGUGGUGGUCAGUAACUGAGUAGGUUUUCUUCGUUACUGUACUUAAGUACAUUUUUCAAGUAUCUGUACUUUACUGGAGUAGUUUUAUUUUGAGUAACUUUUACUUCACUACAUUUCAAAGCAUAUCGUACUUUUUACUUCACUACAUUUCAUAAAACAUAUGUUACUCCUAAUAAUAUAUCACGUGUUCCGACACGCAGAAGCGGUGUCUGAUUCAUGAACGAACUGAUUCUUUUUAAUCAACCUUUUAAAUCGGUUCGCAAAUCGCACCAAACGAUUCAUUCACGAAUUAUAAUGAUCCGAUUGCAGCUGUUCUCGAGUCGACAACUCACUGAUUCAAAUGAAUCGUUUAGUGCGAGUCUCUAGUGAAUUGAAUUCACAACCGGGAGAACUUGUAAGCGCGUGUGCGACUGAUGCUGCUAAAAGUUAGUUACUAAUGUUGAAUUUUAGGAUUAAUUAUUGUAACUGAAAACNGAGUAGUUUUAUUUUGAGUUACUUUUACUUUUACUUCACUACAUUUCAUAAAACAUAUGUUACUCCUUAUAAUGUAUCACGUGCUCUGACGGAAGCGGUGUCUGAUUCAUGAACGAACUGAUUCUUUUUUUUUCAAUCAACCUUUUAAAUCGGUUCGCAAAUCGCACCAAACGAUUCAUUCAUUAAUUAUAAUGAUCCGAUUGCAGCUGUUCUCGAGUCGACAACUCACUGAUUCAAAUGAACCGUUUAGUGCGAGUCUCUAGUGAAUUGAAUUCACAACCGGGAGAACUUGCGAGCGCGUGCGCGACUGAUGCUGCUAAAAGUUACAAAUGUCGUAUUUUAGGAUUAAUUAUUGUAACUGAAAACCAUAUUUAGAUCAAAACUGUCAGUUGUCUGUGAACUAUAUCUGCUGUAAAGAGUGAUCUAUUUAAGCCCACUGAAAUGCUUGAAUGCACACACAUCAACAUCCGUGUCAUGUUUUAGGUCAAACAGGAAACAUUAAAAUAAACACAGAUUAAAUAAAAUAACUCA